rnacentral:rRNA from 1 species
UACGUAGGGGGCUAGCGUUGUCCGGAAUCAUUGGGCGUAAAGCGCGUGUAGGCGGUCCGGUAAGUCCGCUGUGAAAGUCGAGGGCUCAACCCUCGAAUGCCGGUGGAUACUGUCGGGCUUGAGUACGGGAGAGGCGAGUGGAAUUCCUGGUGUAGCGGUGAAAUGCGCAGAUAUCAGGAGGAACACCGAUUGCGAAGGCAGCUCGCUGGAACGUUACUGACGCUGAGACGCGAAAGCAUGGGGAGCAAACAGG